rnacentral:rRNA from 1 species
UGGGGAAUUUUGGACAAUGGGCGAAAGCCUGAUCCAGCAAUGCCGCGUGUGUGAAGAAGGCCUUCGGGUUGUAAAGCACUUUUGUCCGGAAAGAAAUCCUUGGCUCUAAUACAGUCGGGGGAUGACGGUACCGGAAGAAUAAGCACCGGCUAACUACGUGCCAGCAGCCGCGGUAAUACGUAGGGUGCAAGCGUUAAUCGGAAUUACUGGGCGUAAAGCGUGCGCAGGCGGUUUGCUAAGACCGAUGUGAAAUCCCCGGGCUCAACCUGGGAACUGCAUUGGUGACUGGCAGGCUAGAGUAUGGCAGAGGGGGGUAGAAUUCCACGUGUAGCAGUGAAAUGCGUAGAGAUGUGGAGGAAUACCGAUGGCGAAGGCAGCCCCCUGGGCCAAUACUGACGCUCAUGCACGAAAGCGUGGGGAGCAAAACAGGAUUAGAUACCCUGGGUAGUCCACGCCCUAAACGAUGUCAACUAGUUGUUGGGGAUUCAUUUCCUUAGUAACGUAGCUAACGCGUGAAGUUGACCGCCUGGGGAGUACGGUCGCAAGAUUAAAACUUAAAUGAAUUGACGGGGUCAUA